UACGUAGGGUGCGAGCGUUAAUCGGAAUUACUGGGCGUAAAGAGCGCGUAGGUGGCUUACUAAGUCUAAUGUGAAAUCCCUGGACUCAAUCCAGGAAGUGCAUCGGAUACUGGUAGGCUAGAGUGUAGGAGAGGUAAGCGGAAUUCCAGGUGUAGAGGUGAAAUUCGUAGAUAUUCGGAAGAACACCAGUGGCGAAGGCGGCUCACUGGUCCGGUACUGACGCUGAGGUGCGAAAGCGUGGGGAGCAAACAGG
rnacentral:rRNA from 1 species